AUGUUCUUUGAGUCCCACAUCUGCUGUGUGAGCUCAGGGACAGUGAGGGAGCGGUACAUCUGUGACCCACGAGAUGUGAGCGGCGCAAAGCCCACCAUGAAGAAGUGGAGGCGCGGGAAGGGGAUCAGGUUGACGGCAAGCUUGCGGAGGUCUGAGUUCAGCUGCCCUGGGAAGCGGAGGCAGCAGGUGACACCGCUCAUGGUGGCACUGAUCAAGUGGUUCAGGUCACCAACUGUCAACAAAAAGGCAAGAUUCAAAGAUCAGCAAUACUGGCAUAAUAAGGAGUAUUUAACAAGCAACUACCAUAUCAGCUGGAAUUUUUUCAUACCACAACCUACACUUCAACAGGAAAAUAUUCAAAGAAAAUGCACUAGCAGCAAACCUAACUAA
rnacentral:rRNA from 1 species